AGGCGGCAGAACGGGAACCAUGAGAGAGGCUACCUUAAGGGCGUGGCCAGGAGAGGGGCAAUGAGCAGGAUGGAAAGUGAAAAAGGAAAAACUCUGAGUGAGGAGCUGAGGCUGAGCAGGGACAGUAACCUGCCUGAGUGCCACUGUGGCCAAAGCCUGGAUCUGAAGCUGUCUGUCCUGCCCUGUCUUCUUUGCUGAAGUAGUGCUCCAGUGAGGAGACCCAUCCCCGACUGUGGAGGGAACCUGACUUCCCCCCAGGGCUGACUUCUCUUCUUUUGGCUUCAGUUACUACUGUUCUGUAAGACUGAAUUCAAAAGGACUCACAGAUUCUUAUCUAAGAGACUGCUUUAAGUCUCAGUAGAUACUUGGGAGUUUGGACUUUUAAACAGAAGUGGGACAGUUACGACUUGGAGGAUCCUUGAAGCUUGGCUAAAGGCUUUUUGCAUUGUAAGAUAUGAAUGUCUUGGGAGACGAAUAGAAUCUAAAAUAUUUCCCACGGGCUUGUAUUUUAAACACUUGUGGCCGACUGGCAGCAAUACUUGGGAAGGAUGUGGAACCUUUCAGAAACUGAGCCUGUCUGUCAGAAGUCACUAGGGGCAGGACUUCACUGGGCGCAUGUCUUA
rnacentral:lncRNA from 1 species